CCUACGGGAGUCAGCAGUGAGGAAUAUUGGUCAAUGGACGAGCGUCUGAACCAGCCAAGCAGCGUGAAGGAUGACUGCCCUAUGGGUUGUAAACUUCUUUUAUAUGGGAAUAAAACGUUCCACGUGUGGGAUUUUGUAUGUACCAUAUGAAUAAGGAUCGGCUAACUCCGUGCCAGCAGCCGCGGUAAUACGGAGGAUCCGAGCGUUAUCCGGAUUUAUUGGGUUUAAAGGGAGCGUAGGUGGAUUGUUAAGUCAGUUGUGAAAGUUUGCGGCUCAACCGUAAAAUUGCAGUUGAAACUGGCAGUCUUGAGUACAGUAGAGGUGGGCGGAAUUCGUGGUGUAGCGGUGAAAUGCUUAGAUAUCACGAAGAACUCCGAUUGCGAAGGCAGUUCACUGGACUGCAACUGACACUGAGGCUCGAAAGUGUGGGUAUCAAACAGGAUUAGAUACCCUAGUAGGC
rnacentral:rRNA from 1 species